rnacentral:rRNA from 1 species
CCUACGGGAGGCAGCAGUGGGGAAUAUUGGACAAUGGGCGCAAGCCUGAUCCAGCCAUGCCGCGUGGGUGAUGAAGGCCCUAGGGUUGUAAAGCCCUUUCGGCGGGGAAGCGGUACCCGCAGAAGAAGCCCCGGCUAACUUCGUGCCAGCAGCCGCGGUAAUACGAAGGGGGCUAGCGUUGCUCGGAAUCACUGGGCGUAAAGCGCACGUAGGCGGAUUGCUAAGUCAGGGGUGAAAUCCUGGAGCUCAACUCCAGAACUGCCUUUGAUACUGGCGACCUUGAGUCCGGGAGAGGUGAGUGGAACUGCGAGUGUAGAGGUGAAAUUCGUAGAUAUUCGCAAGAACACCAGUGGCGAAGGCGGCUCACUGGCCCGGACUGACGCUGAGGUGCGAAAGCGUGGGGAGCAAACAGGAUUAAUACCCUUGUAGUC